UACGUAGGUGACCAGCGUUGUCCGGAUUUACUGGGCGUAAAGCGUGUGCAGGCGGUCUGUUAAGACAGGUGUGAAAUCCCCGGGCUUAACCUGGGAAUUGCGCUUGUUACUGGCAGACUAGAGUGCGUCAGAGGGAGGUGGAAUUCCACGUGUAGCAGUGAAAUGCGUAGAGAUGUGGAGGAACACCGAUGGCGAAGGCAGCCUCCUGGGAUGACACUGACGCUCAUACACGAAAGCGUGGGGAGCAAACAGG
rnacentral:rRNA from 1 species